rnacentral:rRNA from 1 species
UACGAAGGAUGCGAGCGUUAUCUGGAUUUAUUGGGUUUAAAGGGAGCGUAGGCGGUCUUAUAAGUCAGUGGUGAAAUCUCGUUGCUUUAACAACGAACGUGCCAUUGAUACUGUAGGACUUGAGUACAGUUUGCCGUUGCGGAAUGUGUCAUGUAGCGGUGAAAUGCAUAGAUAUGACACAGAACACCAUUGCGAAGGCAGCUGACGAAACUGUA